GAUCAUGGCUCAGGAUGAACGCUGGCGGCGUGCUUAACACACGCAAGUCGAACGAAGCACUCUAUUUGAUUUUCUUCGGAAAUGAAGAUUUUGUGACUGAGUGGCGGACGGGUGAGUAACGCGUGGGUAACCUGCCUCAUACAGGGGGAUAACAGUUGGAAACGACUGCUAAUACGGCAUAAGCGCACAGGAUCGCAUGAUCCGGUGUGAAAAACUCCGGUGGUAUGGGAUGGACCCGCG
rnacentral:rRNA from 1 species